rnacentral:rRNA from 1 species
UCCUUGUAAGUUUUUUUUCCUCCGCUUAUUGAUAUGCUUAAACGGAGGAAAAGAAACUUACAAGGAUUCCCUUAGUAACGGUGAGAGAACCGGGAACAACCCAGCCUUAGAAUCAGGUGGCUCCGUCAUCCGAAUUAUAGUUUGGAGAAGCGUCCUCAGCGACGGACCUGGCCCAAGUCCCCUAGAAGGGGGCGCCAGAGAGGGUGAGAGACCCAUUAUGCCCGGACCCUGUCGCACCACGAGGUACUGUCUACGAGUUGGGUUGUUUGGGAAUGCAGUCCAGAUCGGGCGGUGAAUUUCGUCCAAGGACAAAUACGGGCAACAGGCCGAUAACGAACAAGUACCGUGAGGGAAAGAUGAAAAGGACUUUGAAAAGAGAGUCAAAGAGUGCUUGAAAUUAUUGGGAGAGAAGCGGAUGGGGGUUGCCGAUGUGCCCGGUCGGAUGUCGAAUGGCGAUGAGUCGGUCCGCCGAUCGACUCGGGGCAUGGACCAGCAUUGAUUGGGGGGCGGGAAAAUCCUGGACUCUCAAUACACUUGUGGAAUGCUGUCUCAUCGAUUGUGGUAGGCAGCACGCGGCUCCAACAUGCUUCACCAUCUGCGCGAUAUGGACGCUGUCCUGUUGGCUCCCCAUUUGACCCGUCUUCAAAAAUGGACCAAGGAGUCUGACAUGUGUGCGAGUCAACGGGCGAGUAAACCUGUAAGGCAUAAGGAAGCUGAUUGGUGGUAUCCCUCCGAGGGGUGCACCGCCGACCGACCUUGAUCUUCUGAGAAGGGUUAGAGUAUGAGCAUACCUGUCGGGACUCGAAAAAUGGUGAACUAUGCCUGAGCGGCGCGAAGCUAGAGAAAACUCUGGUGGAGGCCCGCAGUGAUACUGACGUUCAAAUCAUUCGCCUGACUUGGGUGUAGGGCCCACGGUUGAUUUAUCAAGCCAUGCCACGGAAUCAAGAGCUCCAAGUGGGAUAUUUUUUAUAAGCAGAACUGGCGAUGUGGGAUGAACCAGAAGCCGGGUUAUGGUGCCCAAUUGCACGUUAACCUAGAUCCCACAAAGGGUGUUGGUUGAUUAAGACAGCAGGACGGUGGUCAUGGAAGUCAAAAUCCGCUAAGGAGUGUGUAACAACUCACCUGCCGAAUAAACUAGCCCCGAAAAUGGAUGGCACUUAAGCGCACGACCUACACCCGGCCAUCGGAGAAAUUUCCUGGCCUCGAUGAGUAGGAGGGCGCGGCGGUCCCUCCAAAACCUUGGGCGCGAGCCUGGGAAGAGCCGCCUUCGGUGCAAAUAUUGGGGGUAGUAGCAAAUAUUCAAACGACAACUUUGAAGGCCAAAGAGGGGAAAGGUUACAUGUGAACGGUACUUGCACAUGGAUUAGUCGAUCCUAAUGGUCGGGGGAACCCCGACAGAUAGCUCAUUUCGUGCGUACUUCAUAAGGAAAUCGGGUUAAAAUUCCUGGACCGGGAUGUGGUGGUCAACGGCAAUGUUAGGAAGUCGAGAGACGUCGGGAAGAGUUAUCUUUUCUAUUUAACAACCUGCCCACCCUGGAAUCGACUCAGUCGGAGAUAGGGUCCAGCGGCUGCAAGAGCAUCGUAUGUCGCAUGGUUUCAGGUGCACUACCGGCGGACCUUGAAAAUUAAGAGGACCAAAUGCCGUCCACACUCUGUCGUACUCAUAACCACAUCAGAUCUCCAAGGGGAACAACCUAUGGUCGAUGGAACAAUGUAGGAAAGGGAAGUCGGCAAAAUGGAUCCGUAACUUCUGGAAAAGGAUUGGCACUGAGGGCUGGGCAGUCCCAAACCCACCAGCUAUUGGUGGACUACUCGAGCUGCUCCUUCGGGGGCCUUCCCCGCGUGUCAAAAAACCAACUCAGAACUGGUACAGACAAGGGGAAUCCAACUAUUUAUUUAAAACAAAGCAUUGCGAUAGUCCCAAAUAAUGUUCACGCAUUGUGAUUUCUUCUUAGUGCUCUGAAUGUCAAAGUAAAGAAAUUCAACCAAGCGCGGGUAAACGGUGGGAGUAACUAUGACUCUCUUAAGGUAGCCAAAUUCCUCAUCAUCUAAUUAGUGAUGCGCAUGAAUGGAUUAACGAGAUUCCCACUAUCCCUGUCUACUAUCCAGAAAAACCACAGCCAAGGGAACGGGCUUGGCCGAAUCAGCGGGGAAAGAAUACCCUCUUAAGCUGGACUCUACUCUGGGGUUGUGAAAUGACUUAAGAGGUGUAGUAUAAGUGGGAGCCGAAAGGCGAAAGUGAAAUACCACUACUUUCAACGUUAUUUUACUUAUUCCGUGAAUUGGAAGCGGGGCACUGCCCCUAUUUUUGGACCCAAGGCUCGCUCUGCAGGCUGAUCCGAGUGGAAGACAUUGUCAGGUGGGGAGUUUGGCUGGGGCGGCACAUCUGUUAAAAGAUAACGUAGGUGUCCUAAGAUGAGCUCAACAAGAAUAGAAAUAUCGUGUGGAACAGAAGGGUAAAAGCUCGUUUGAUUCUGAUUUCCUGUACAAAUACAAACCAUGAAAGCGUGGCCUAACGAUUCUUUAGACCAUAAAAAUUUGAAGCUAGAGGUGUCAGAAAAUUGUUACCACAGGGAUAACUGGCCUGUUCCUGCCAAACGUUCAUAGCGACAUUACUUUUUCAUCCUUCAAUGUCGGCUCUUCCUAUCAUUAUAAAGCAGAAUUCACCAAGUGUUGGACUGUUUACCCACCAAUAGGGAACGUGAGCUGGGUUUAGACCAUCGUGAGAUAGGUUAGUUUUACCCUACUUAUGAUAGUGUCGCAGUAGUAAUUCAACCUAGUACGAGAGGAAACAUUGAUUCACAUAAUUUAUCAUCGCACUUGCUUGAAAACCCAAUGGCUUAAAGCUACCGUGUGCAUGAUUAUGACUGAACGCCUCUAAGUCAGAAUCCGAGCUAGAAGCGAUGCAUGCGCCCAUUGUCCGCUUGCCGACCCGCAGUAGGGGCCUCGACCCCCAAGGGCACCUAUCAUUUGCUAAGCCACCGCGGUAGAAGAGUCGUGGUGUCCGCCUUGAAGUAUAAUUUCCAUCGAGCGGUAGGUAGAAUCGUUUAUUGAUGACUUAAAUAUGCGACAGGGUAUUGUAAGUGGAAGAGUGGCCUUGCUGCCACGAUC